CAUAUUAUUUAACAUCUUCUGGAUUACCAGCUGGGACACGGUAGCGCUAUGUGUACUUGGCGCAAAUGGCCGGAAGUAGAACUAUUGGCGUGUUUUGCACGCUCAUCCCCCUAGUAUAAUCCGUUGGUAGCUUUUGCAGCUUCCAAAUGGUUCGCUCUGGGGGGACACUU
rnacentral:snoRNA from 1 species